rnacentral:lncRNA from 1 species
UUUGCUGUCCUUGGUUACUAUGACGCCCGGCCCCCGCCCCCUCGGCUGGCCGCCAUCUUGUUGUUGAUCCGUACCCAGUGGGCAGCGCCAGGAGCUGGACCGAGCGGCCGGUGCGGGGCCGCUGCUGCGGGGCUCAGCCACCUGCGCUGCCUGCCAGGGGGCGGGCCGAGACCUGGAGGCCCGGGGGGCCCAGCUCCCGUGGGGAGCCUUGGGCGCCCGCUGCCCGGGUCGGGCCGGACAGAACAAUAAGCUAAGCAGACUCUGACCAUUGGCCUCCCACUAGCCAGGAUCGACCUAGCUCUCCUUUUGUGGUCCAUGUGCUGCAUCGUCUGCUGUCAGUGUGUAACCGGCCCCCAACGCAAUGUGUGUUUGUCAAACCAUGGAAGUGGGGCAGUAUGGCAAGAACGCAAGUCGGGCGGGAGACCGAGGAGUCCUCCUGGAGCCCUUUAUCCAUCAGGUGGGCGGACACAGCAGCAUGAUGCGGUACGACGAUCACACGGUGUGCAAACCUCUCAUCUCUCGGGAACAGCGCUUCUACGAGUCUCUCCCUCCCGAAAUGAAGGAAUUCACCCCAGAAUACAAAGGUGUGGUUUCUGUCUGUUUUGAGGGAGACAGUGACGGUUACAUCAACCUGGUAGCCUACCCUUAUGUGGAGAGUGAAACUGUAGAGCAAGACGACACACCUGAGCGGGAGCAACCUCGGCGCAAACACUCCCGCCGGAGCCUGCAUCGGUCUGGC